rnacentral:tRNA from 2 species
GGCCGGGUAGCUCAGUUGCAUAGAGCAGGGCACUCCUAACGCCAAGGUCGCAGGUUGGAAUCCUGCCCCGGUCACCA